UCCCUGGUGGUCUAGCGGUUAGGGCUUGGUGCUUUUGCCCCUGAAUGCUAGGUUCAAUCCCUAGUCUGGGAA
rnacentral:tRNA from 1 species